AGCGAACAUUGGCGGUAGGCUUAACACAUGCAAGUCGAGCGAGACGUAAUAGUCGAGCGGCGAACGGGUGCGUAAUACAUGGGAAUCUACCUCGAAGUGGGGGAUAACGUCCAGAAAUGGACGCUAAUACCGCAUAAUCCAUAUCGGGAAAGCGUUGCAGCGCUUUGAGAUGAGCCCAUGGCUGAUUAGCUUGUUGGUGAGGUAACGGCUCACCAAGGCGACGAUCAGUAGCUGGUCUGAGAGGAUGACCAGCCACACUGGAACUGAGACACGGUCCAGACUCCUACGGGAGGCAGCAGUGGGGAAUCUUGCGCAAUGGGGGCAACCCUGACGCAGCCAUACCGCGUGAGUGAUGAAGGUCUUCGGAUUGUAAAGCUCUUUCGGCAGGGACGACGAUGACGGUACCUGCAAAAGAAGUCACGGCUAACUUCGUGCCAGCAGCCGCCGUAA
rnacentral:rRNA from 1 species